AGUUAGUUUUGAAUAGCUCCUGAUGAGACUCUGUUUACAAGUCGUGUUUCCACGCAGGGCAGAGCCCCGGAGCUGCCUUCAGUGUGGGUUCAUCAUUGUGAGUUGAGGCAUCUGGCCAGCUGGACUCCAUGGAAACCCAUCUCCAACCAAGCCCAUGCAGUACCCAUGCAUCUUGUGUGCAUUCAGGGCCUGGAGUUAGCCUGCACCUGUGCAUACACAUUUCUCAAAACCUCGGAGGGUCCCUCGCUGAAACAUCAAGUUGCUCAAAGGAAAGUAAGAAAUGCCUGGCUUACCUGGAAGAGGCAUGCCACCAGAGGAAAGCGAUCCCUCAAAAACAAGCUCAUCUGACUGUGCCCAUGACUCAACUUCAAAGGCUGCCUCCCUCCAGUCAGUGAAGCGUGCGAUCACAGUGAGUUAGCCCCACAUCAGACGUGGAUAGCUCUUGGUGGACUGCUGCUGUAUUUCAGCAAUACUUUCACACCAUUUCUGUCUGUAACCCUUUACACAGGUCAGAGUAAGUAAAUGGAAAGAGAUAUACUUCUAUUUUGUUUUGUUUUACUUUUGACACAGGGUCUUGCUAUAAGUUAGCCCAGGCUGGCCUGCAACUCAAGAUCCUCUUGCUACAGCCUCCCAAGGGCUGGGGUCUCAUGUGUGUUUUUGGUAAAGUCUGUAUUACCUUGAUAACAAUAAAGCUACUUUCUUCUCUUGCUACA
rnacentral:lncRNA from 1 species